rnacentral:lncRNA from 10 species
GGAGCUGGGGCCGGCCUGGGACCAUGGGCGGUGAGUGCGGCGCGGGCCUGGGCCGGGGCGGUUGCCGUUGGGGCCGAGCAGCGCAGAGCCCUCUCCCGCACGGCCCCCGCACUCCCGCCGCUGGAUUCCAGCCGAGAUUCAAGCUCCCGGGAUCCCCCUUCCCGGGCGGUCCUGAGCCGGCUAGUCUCCAGUGAGUGCAAUCUACGGAUCAGUCUCUGAUGGUGGGUCGUUAACCUCAGUGGGGACUCCAAGAUUUCCAUGAAGAAAAUCAGUUGUCUUCAUUCAAGAAUUGGGGUCUGGCUCAGAAUUCCUGCAGCUGGUGAAAAUCUGUUUUCUAGAAGAGGUUUAAUUAAUGCCUGCAGUCUGCCCUGAGCUGUAGCCCCAGUCCCCUUUGACAUCACCCAUUUUCCAAUGGAGGAAGCUUCCAGGGAGACAGGGUACCACUUGGAGAGCCCCCAUGGCCACUUCAGAUUGCAGCCAUUGCCACUUCAUCUCACCUGAGGUGCUGAGGGGAGAGUCUAGUUUACAGGGCAUCCUUUUGUCACCUGCUCGCCACCCUUAUGCCCCUGGGUGUGACCAGCUUCCUCAGAAAGAGCUGUAAUCAAUAGCAUAUUGAUUAAAAAGCAUAUUAAGAUGAAAA